CGCGUGAGGGAGAAGGAUUUGGUCUGUAAACCUCUUUUCUCAAGAAAGAAGUUCUGACGGUACUUGAGGAAUAAGCAUCGGCUAACUCCGUGCCAGCAGCCGCGGUAAUACGGGGGAUGCAAGCGUUAUCCGGAAUGAUUGGGCGUAAAGCGCCUGUAGGUUGUUUAUUAAGUCCGUUGUUAAAGCCUAGGGCUCAACCCUAGAAAAGCAAUGGAAACUAGUAGACUAGAGUAUGGCAGGGGUAGAGGGAAUUUCUAGUGUAGCGGUGAAAUGCGUAGAUAUUAGAAAGAACACCGGUGGCGAAAGCGCUCUACUGGACCAUUACUGACACUCAGAGGCGAAAGCUAGGGUAGCAAAAGGGAUU
rnacentral:rRNA from 1 species